GACGAACGCUGGCGGCGUGCCUAAUACAUGCAAGUAGAACGCACAGUUUAUACCGUAGCUUGCUACACCAUAGACUGUGAGUUGCGAACGGGUGAGUAACGCGUAGGUAACCUGCCUGGUAGCGGGGGAUAACUAUUGGAAACGAUAGCUAAUACCGCAUAAUAUUGAUUUUUGCAUGAUAAUUAAUUGAAAGGUGCAAUUGCACCACUACCAGAUGGACCUGCGUUGUAUUAGCUAGUAGGUGAGGUAACGGCUCACCUAGGCGACGAUACAUAGCCGACCUGAGAGGGUGAUCGGCCACACUGGGACUGAGACACGGCCCAGACUCCUACGGGAGGCAGCAGUAGGGAAUCUUCGGCAAUGGACGAAAGUCUGACCGAGCAACGCCGCGUGAGUGAAGAAGGUUUUCGGAUCGUAAAGCUCUGUUGUAAGAGAAGAACGGGUGUGAGAGUGGAAAGUUCACACUGUGACGGUAUCUUACCAGAAAGGGACGGCUAACUACGUG
rnacentral:rRNA from 1 species